UACCUGGUUGAUUCUGCCAGUAGUCAUAUGCUUGUCUCAAAGAUUAAGCCAUGCAUGUCUAAGUAUAAGCAACUAUACGGUGAAACUGCGAAUGGCUCAUUAAAUCAGUUAUCGUUUAUUUGAUAGUACCUUACUACAUGGAUAACCGUGGUAAUUCUAGAGCUAAUACAUGCUAAAAACCUCGACUUCGGAAGGGGUGUAUUUAUUAGAUAAAAAACCAAUGCCCUUCGGGGCUCCUUGGUGAAUCAUAAUAACUUAACGAAUCGCAUGGCCUUGCGCCGGCGAUGGUUCAUUCAAAUUUCUGCCCUAUCAACUUUCGAUGGUAGGAUAGUGGCCUACCAUGGUAUCAACGGGUAACGGGGAAUUAGGGUUCGACUCCGGAGAGGGAGCCUGAGAAACGGCUACCACAUCCAAGGAAGGCAGCAGGCGCGCAAAUUACCCAAUCCCGACACGGGGAGGUAGUGACAAUAAAUACUGAUACAGGGCUCUUUUGGGUCUUGUAAUUGGAAUGAGUACAAUUUAAAUCCCUUAACGAGGAACAAUUGGAGGGCAAGUCUGGUGCCAGCAGCCGCGGUAAUUCCAGCUCCAAUAGCGUAUAUUAAAGUUGUUGCAGUUAAAAAGCUCGUAGUUGAACCUUGGGCCUGGCUGGCCGGUCCGCCUCACCGCGUGUACUGGUCCGGCCGGGCCUUUCCUUCUGGGGAACCUCAUGCCCUUCACUGGGCGUGUUGGGGAACCAGGACUUUUACUUUGAAAAAAUUAGAGUGUUCAAAGCAGGCCUUUGCUCGAAUACAUUAGCAUGGAAUAAUAGAAUAGGACGUGUGGUUCUAUUUUGUUGGUUUCUAGGACCGCCGUAAUGAUUAAUAGGGAUAGUCGGGGGCAUCAGUAUUCAAUCGUCAGAGGUGAAAUUCUUGGAUUGAUUGAAGACUAACUACUGCGAAAGCAUUUGCCAAGGAUGUUUUCAUUAAUCAGUGA
rnacentral:ncRNA from 1 species